GACGAACGCUGGCGGCGUGCUUAACACAUGCAAGUCGAACGGAAAGGCCCUGCUUUUGUGGGGUGCUCGAGUGGCGAACGGGUGAGUAACACGUGAGUAACCUGCCCUUGACUUUGGGAUAACUUCAGGAAACUGGGGCUAAUACCGGAUAGGAGCUCCUGCUGCAUGGUGGGGGUUGGAAAGUUUCGGCGGUUGGGGAUGGACUCGCGGCUUAUCAGCUUGUUGGUGGGGUAGUGGCUUACCAAGGCUUUGACGGGUAGCCGGCCUGAGAGGGUGACCGGCGACAUUGGGACUGAGAUACGGCCCAGACUCCAACGGGAGGCAGCAGUGGGGAAUAUUGCACAAUGGGCGGAAGCCUGAUGCAGCAGCGCCGCGUGCGGGAUGACGGCCUUCGGGUUGUAAACCGCUUUCGCCUGUGACGAAGCGUGAGUGACGGUAAUGGGUAAAGAAGCACCGGCUAACUACGUG
rnacentral:rRNA from 1 species